GUACCUGACAGUAAACAUGCUUAGGGUCUUUGAACAGGUCAAUAAGGCUGUAAAAGUUUUCGUCUUUGCGUACUUCCUGUGACAGAGUAUGAAAGCAACUCACAGGUCGACAUACAGGUUGCUGUAGAUUCAGAGGUCUUGGUUGUUAAGACAGUGGCCUGCCACAACAACAGACUGCGCAUCAUGCAGAAUGAAAGUUGGUUACUUGAUAUGAUAAAGUUCUUAAUCACGCCUUUGAUGUGCAUAGCACUGUACCUGCUGUGUUGCCGUAGAAAAUGGCCAUGCACUCAGGAAGAAGAGCCAGAUGACUCCUCUAUCUAUGUCAUCCCUAUGCAUGAAGAAGAGAGGACAGAAGGACGAAGAGAGGAGCCAAGUCCCCCCAGUAGACCUCCUCGGCCCUCAAGGGCCCCAACACCUCCACCGUUACCCACGACUGUCUACAGACCUCCCUAUAGAGAACUGCCGCCGUAUAGCUCAGUGGAUCUCAUCAACCCUGCACCGCCAUACACUCCGUUUGACCCGAAGGACCCAGAGGACGUUCCACCUUCCUACCAAGCGGUGAUAGAGGACAUACCACCCAUCGGCUCAGCAGUGGUGGUGUCAGAUGACCUUCCGUCUGUCGGGUAUCCGCUACCGCCCCCAGUCUCACCCCCCUUACUCCCAAGUCCAGGUUACGCCCAACUCCCGUUACCAAGACCCUAACAUGGACGCGACAUGCACAAUUGAGAAUUCCAUUUAAUCCCACAGCACUUCUGCUACAGCCUGGUCCCAGAUUUGUUUGCGCUGUCUUGCCAACACCUAUAGACAGCACAAACAGAUUUGGGACCAGGCUAUGUCUGCUAUUCCCUUGCACCUCCAUGGGUUCAUAUAGAGCUCUGAACAUACAUAUUCAGGCCGUCCAAAGAACAAUGUUGAUUAAUCUACGUUUUUGAGGAAACUUUGGAUUUAUGUGAUACAGUUAGGGCCUAGAGUUGUUAGUGAAAACUCAGGUCCUGAAAUACUGUAUAGUGGUACAUCUUAUUUAAAUUGAACACUUUCGUCACUGACGUGACAUUGUUCUGUAAAGUAUCUGGUUCGGCUUGUGUAGAGGACUGGGCCAUCAUGGAGUCAUUGUUAAUUUCGUCAACAGAAAUAGUGACUAAAAUAAUCACCCAGGUGACUCUCUUGCUUCACCUUAACCAGUCAACACCACCAGCCUUCUAGUUAGCUAGAAUACUCUUUGCUGGUUAAGAAAUACAAGAUGCUUUACCAAAUGAAAAACAAUAACAGCAUUGAGUUUAACAGCAAAACAACAGUCUGGCUAUGUCUUUCUCUUCCUUGAGUAGGCUAUAGAAAAGUAGGCCGUCUUUGAAUUUGUAGUCUUGUUCAACCCUCCCACUUUGCCCACUGCAUUUCAUAUACAGGUUCUGUAGUCAAGUGUCCCUGUUUUCCUCAGAGAAAACAGCUUGAUUUAAGCCCUUAGGGUACCAUUCAUAAGACAUGACCCAUAAUACCAGCACUAUGCUUUUUUAUUUCUAUAGUGCAUUGGCGGCCGCAUUUUACAUUCAUAAAGCAUAUCGCAGGCUGUUCUAAAACUAGGUUACUUGUGGACCGAAUCGUUAACCACCUUGUUCAGUCAUGUUACCUCAUUAGCUAGCUAAAGCUAACAACCUGGGGGAACGUUCAGCAGGACGCAACGUUUUGAAACGUUCAGAUAUAAAUAUGUUCUGUAGAACAAACAUUAGAAAAUAAAGGAAAGCCGCACACUCUAAGAGCUC